rnacentral:lncRNA from 1 species
ACCAGGGGCGGCCCAAUACAUCUGGGGGCUCAAGGCGAAUUCAGUAAAUGGGGCCUCUUUUUUUUAAAUAAUAAUUUUUUUAAUAAAUAUAAAAUACUUAAAAAAAUGUUAUGGAAAUAGAUUGCUGUCAAGUACACUAUUUCAAUAAAGAUGCAUGAAUCUAAUAAAGGUCGACAAAAAGCCUCUUCAGUUUAAUAUAAUUCUUGAAUGAAAAUAUUAAAAAAAAUACUUAAAAAAAAAAGGGAUAUGGUACUGUUCUUGGCAAUACGCUUUACCAUGUGAAGCGAGAGCAGAAUAGGAAAAAGGCCAUCCCAUGGCGCUUCACGGUCAAAAAAUUUGUCCAAGAGAAAGUAGGGUCAUUAUGGGAAAUUCACUCCAUCUAAUUAAUAAAAGUCCCAUCCCACCAUCUUCCCUUCAAGUGAGCCUGCAACAUCACGGAACAGCAGCCAUUCAACCCCCCCUCCCUCCUUCUCUUUCUCUACCCUCCUUUUCUUUUGCUAAAGACCAUCUCUCCUUCAAGUGAGCACCGAAGCUGCAACUGCAACAUCACGGCACAGCAGCCAUUCAACCCCCUCCUCCUUUUCUCUCUCUACCACCCAAGAGGGGAGAAGAAACCGAGAGGAGAAAAUUAAA